rnacentral:rRNA from 1 species
CAGAGGGGGCAAGCGUUAUUCGGAAUUAUUGGGCGUAAAGGGCGCGUAGGCGGCUUUGCAAGUGACGGGUGAAAGCCCUCGGCUUAACCGAGGAACUGCCUGUCAGACUGUGAGGCUCGAGACCGGGAGAGGUGAGUGGAAUUCCCAGUGUAGCGGUGAAAUGCGUAGAUAUUGGGAGGAACGCCAGUGGCGAAGGCGGCUCACUGGACCGGAACUGACGCUGAUGCGCGAAAGCGUGGGGAGCAAACAGGAUUAGAUACCCCGGUAGUCCACGCCGUAAACGAUGAGUGCUUGGUGUAGCGGGUAUCGACCCCUGCUGUGCCGAAGUCAACACAUUAAGCACUCCGCCUGGGGAGUACGGUCGCAAGACUG